AGCCAGAUCACCUGAAACAGCUGUGUGGCUGUUGAGAUUUAAAAAGGUUAGCAGUUUCCUCCAGAGCUCUUUGACAGCAGACUGCUAAACAAAACUAUGGAAACAAGCAGUGAUGAGGAAAUGAAGGAGGAAACUAAAAUAAAUACAGUUGACAGAAUACUUUGAGUCAAUCAACAAACUGCAGGCGAGGCACAAGAGGGAGAUGCUGGAAGUCCUGAAGUGCCACAAGGAGAAGGAGAUGCUUCUCCAACAAGGAUGAACGGAAUGCUGGAGAACUACAACAGCUCAGCUGAAUAUCCUGGUGCAAGGUGUUGGCGGAG